rnacentral:rRNA from 1 species
CUAGCUGUAAACGAUGGGUACUAGGCGUCGGGGGUAUCGACCCCCUCGGUGCCGCAGCUAACGCGAUAAGUACCCCGCCUGGGGACUACGGCCGCAAGGUUGAAACUCAAAGGAAUUGACGGGGGCCCGCACAAGCGGUGGAGCAUGUUGCUUAAUUCGAUGCAACGCGAAGAACCUUAUCCAGGCCUUGACAUCCUGCGAAUUCCCUAGAAAUAGGGAAGUGCCUUCGGGAACGCAGAGACAGGUGG